GCCUGGGGGGCUCAGUGGGUUAAGCGUCUGACUUCAGCUCAGGUCAUGAUCUCCCCGUUCGUGGGCUCGAGCCCCACCCCGCGUC
rnacentral:tRNA from 1 species